rfam:Heterocephalus glaber contig194183, whole genome shotgun sequence.
AAGUUCUGCGGACUGCUCUUUCCUAUAAGUUAUUUUUCAUGAUUUUUAGUAAUUUUCCAGCGUGGUCUUAGUGGUGCUAUACUCUUGGAUAGGUUAUCCCUUCUCUCCUGUUAGAUUGAUGAGAUCCUAUAAU